rnacentral:rRNA from 1 species
UCCUACGGGAGGCAGCAGUGGGGAAUCUUGCGCAAUGGGCGAAAGCCUGACGCAGCCAUGCCGCGUGAAUGAUGAAGGUCUUAGGAUUGUAAAAUUCUUUCACCGGGGACGAUAAUGACGGUACCCGGAGAAGAAGCCCCGGCUAACUUCGUGCCAGCAGCCGCGGUAAUACGAAGGGGGCUAGCGUUGCUCGGAAUUACUGGGCGUAAAGGGCGCGUAGGCGGACAUUUAAGUCAGGGGUGAAAUCCCAGAGCUCAACUCUGGAACUGCCUUUGAUACUGGGUGUCUUGAGUGUGAGAGAGGUAUGUGGAACUCCGAGUGUAGAGGUGAAAUUCGUAGAUAUUCGGAAGAACACCAGUGGCGAAGGCGACAUACUGGCUCAUUACUGACGCUGAGGCGCGAAAGCGUGGGGAGCAAACAGGAUUAGAUACCCUGGUAG